rnacentral:rRNA from 1 species
UACAGAGGGUGCAAGCGUUAAUCGGAAUUACUGGGCGUAAAGGGCGCGUAGGCGGCCUGGUAAGUAGGGGGUGAAAUCCUGCGGCUUAACCGCAGGGCUGCCUUCUAAACUGUCAGGCUUGAGCACGGUAGAGGCAGAUGGAAUUCCCGGUGUAGCGGUGGAAUGCGUAGAGAUCGGGAAGAACAUCAGUGGCGAAGGCGGUCUGCUGGGCCGUUGCUGGACGCUGAGGCGCGAAAGCUAGGGGAGCAAACGGG